UACGUAGGGGGCUAGUGUUGUCCGGAUUUAUUGGGCGUAAAGAGCGUGUAGGCGGCCAGGUAGGUCUGCUGUGAAAACUCGAGGCUUAACCUCGAGAUGUCGGCGGAAACCAUCUGGCUAGAGUCCGGAAGAGGAGAGUGGAAUUCCUGGUGUAGCGGUGAAAUGCGCAGAUAUCAGGAAGAACACCCGUGGCGAAGGCGGCUCUCUGGGACGGUACUGACGCUGAGACGCGAAAGCGUGGGGAGCGAACAGG
rnacentral:rRNA from 1 species